rnacentral:rRNA from 1 species
UACGUAGGGUGCAAGCGUUGUCCGGAAUUAUUGGGCUUAAAGAGCUCGUAGGCGGUCUGUCACGUCGGCUGUGAAAACCCGAGGCUCAACCUCGGGCCUGCAGUCGAUACGGGCAAACUAGAGUGUUGCAGGGGAGACUGGAAUUCCUGGUGUAGCGGUGAAAUGCGCAGAUAUCAGGAGGAACACCGGUGGCGAAGGCGGGUCUCUGGGCAACAACUGACGCUGAGGAGCGAAAGCGUGGGGAGCAAACAGG